UUUAUUAGUUCAAGAUUAGAGUUAUGCGAUUGCUGUUGUUUAUUUGUUUUAGCGUCUGCCUCACUUUACUGAGUCAUGGCCAAGAAAAUGAUUCCACCAAGGAUAAUAUGAGUUAUGUGAAACGAGUUGUCGAUACAGAUCUACUUGUGCGCUCAACUCGUUCAGUGAGUUUUCAAGGAAGCGCAGGCGGUGCAGGAUGUGUUGGUGAUGGACGUAGCAGAGAAGGUAGAGCCAGACCUCAUUGUAGAUGUCAAAUUGCAGGAGGUGAAUCUACAACACAAAAACGUACUAGCAAAGCUGGCAGAGCAUCAAAUUACAGAAGGCGUGCAGUCAAACAUAGAGCACAGGUUGGUUCAAGUGAUAAACGCAGUGGAUCGAGAGGUAUAACAAGUGGUUCAAAUGGUGGAAAAGUUGUGACUGAACGCCAGAUCUUGACCCCGGCAAUAUUUGAAACACCAAUAUCUGGAUAGCUUCUUCUUAUCUUUCUUUUUUUGAUAGAGGAUAAAUCGAUUACGGGGGGCUACUUUCUGGCAAUUGUAUAUACUAAUAAAAACUACUAAAUUACUCCAAGUUUAA